rnacentral:rRNA from 1 species
CGCGUAGGCGGUUUCACAAGUCAGGUGUGAAAGCCCCGGGCUCAACCUGGGAACUGCAUUUGAUACUGUGGGGCUAGAGUCUGUCAGAGGGUGGCGGAAUUCCGGGUGUAGCGGUGAAAUGCGUAGAUAUCCGGAGGAACACCAGUGGCGAAGGCGGCCACCUGGGGCGAGACUGACGCUGAGGUGCGAAAGCGUGGGGAGCAAACA